AGGGGAACGGCUGGGUCACAUGGUAACGCUUUCACUUUUUGAGGAACUGCGAGAUUGUUUCCCAAAGUGGCUGCACCAUUCUACAUGCCCACCAGCAGU
rnacentral:pre_miRNA from 1 species